rnacentral:misc_RNA from 1 species
GAUGAAGAACGUAGCGAAAUGCGAUAAGUAAUGUGAAUUGCAGAAUUCAGUGAAUCAUCGAAUCUUUGAACGCACAUUGCGCCCAUUAGUAUUCUAGUGGGCAUGCCUGUUCGAGCGUCAUUACAACCCUUAAGCCUAGCUGCUUAGCGUUGGGAACUUAGCCUCCAAAGCUAAUUCCUUAAAGACAUUGGCAGAGUUGCGGCAUACUCUAAGCGUAGUAAUUUAUUCUCGCUUCUGAAGGUGUCGUGACGAUCGCCACAAACCUCUAUAUUUCCAGUGGUUGACCUCGGAUCAGGUAGGAAUACCCGCUGAACUUAAGCAUAUCAAUAAGCGGAGGA